UACGGGGGAUGCAAGCGUUAUCCGGAAUCAUUGGGCGUAAAGCGCCUGUAGGUUGUUUAAUAAGUCUGUUGUUAAAGACUAGGGCUUAACCCUAGGAAAGCAAUGGAAACUACUAGACUAGAGUAUGAUAGGGGUAGAGGGAAUUUCUAGUGUAGCGGUGAAAUGCGUAGAUAUUAGGAAGAACACCGGUGGCGAAAGCGCUCUACUGGACCAUUACUGACACUCAGAGGCGAAAGCUAGGGUAGCAAAAGGGAUUAGAUACCCCUGUAGUCCUAGCCGUAACGAUGGAUACUAGAUGUUGUGUUUAUUCAGUGUCCUAGCUAACGCGUUAAGUAUCCCGCCUGGGGAGUACGCUCGCAAGGGUG
rnacentral:rRNA from 1 species